CACGUAGGGUCCGAGCGUUGUCCGGAAUUACUGGGCGUAAAGCGUGCGCAGGCGGUUGGGUCAGUCGCUGGUGAAAGCCCCACGCUCAACGUGGGAAUGGCCAACGAGACGGCCCGACUGGAGGCAGGGAGAGGCCGGUGGAAUUCCGGGUGUAGUGGUGAAAUGCGUAGAGAUCCGGAGGAACACCAGAGGCGAAGGCGGCCGGCUGGACGGAUACUGACGCUGAGGCGCGAAAGCCAGGGGAGCAAACGGG
rnacentral:rRNA from 1 species